rnacentral:lncRNA from 1 species
CGGACUUAUACAUUUCUCUAAAAGCAUACAGUUCUAAAAUGUGUGUAUUUUCUUGUCUCAAUUACCAUGUCCAUGUAUGAGGAUAAGAAUAGGUCACCAUUUAUAAAGAUAGAAAGAAUAUAUAGAUGAUGAAAUAUAAAGAACAUAUUGAUUGAUUGUUUGGUUGUUUAACAUUCAAUGGCAAAUAUUUGAUGCAUUUAAGGCAGGCAAAUAUUCAGUAUAAAGAUAAAUAAGGUAAAAAAAAAGAUAUAGAAAUAUAGAAAUGAUGAUCUGAGCUCCCAUCCC